UACGGAGGGUGCAAGCAUUAAUCGGGUUUAUUGGGCGUAAAGAGCGCGUAGGCGGCUGUAAAAGUCAGAUGUGAAAUUCUAGGGCUCAACUCUAGAGCUGCAUUUGAAACUCUAUGGCUAGAGGAUAGGCGGAGAAAAUGGAAUUCCACGUGUAGCGGUGAAAUGCGUAGAUAUGUGGAAGAACACCGGUGGCGAAGGCGGUUUUCUAGCUUAUUCCUGACGCUGAGGCGCGAAAGCAAGGGGAGCAAACAGG
rnacentral:rRNA from 1 species